GGCCUACACAUGCAAGUCGAGCGGAAACGAUGGUAGCUUGCUACCAGGCGUCGAGCGGCGGACGGGUGAGUAAUACUUAGGAAUCUACCUAGUAGUGGGGGAUAGCUCGGGGAAACUCGAAUUAAUACCGCAUACGACCUACGGGAGAAAGGGGGCAGUUUACUGCUCUCGCUAUUAGAUGAGCCUAAGUCGGAUUAGCUAGAUGGUGGGGUAAAGGCCUACCAUGGCGACGAUCUGUAGCUGGUCUGAGAGGAUGAUCAGCCACACCGGGACUGAGACACGGCCCGGACUCCUACGGGAGGCAGCAGUGGGGAAUAUUGGACAAUGGGGGAAACCCUGAUCCAGCCAUGCCGCGUGUGUGAAGAAGGCCUUUUGGUUGUAAAGCACUUUAAGCAGUGAAGAAGACUCCGUGGUUAAUACCCACGGACGAUGACAUUAUCUGCAGAAUAAGCACCGGCUAACUCUGUGCCAGCAGCCGCGGUAAUACAGAGGGUGCAAGCGUUAAUCGGAAUUACUGGGCGUAAAGGGAGCGUACGUGGCUCGAUAAGUCAGAUGUGAAAUCCCCGGGCUCAACCUGGGAACUGCAUCUGAUACUGUUGAGCUAGAGUAUGUGAGAGGAAGGUAGAAUUCCAGGUGUAGCGGUGAAAUGCGUAGAGAUCUGGAGGAAUACCGAUGGCGAAAGCAGCCUUCUGGCAUAAUACUGACACUGAGGCUCGAAAGCGUGGGUAGCAAACAGGAGUAGAUACCCUGGUAGUCCACGCCGUAGACGAUGUCUACUAGUCGUUGGGUCCCUUGAAGACUUACUGACGCACCUAACGUAAUAAGUAGACCGCCUGGAGAGUACUGCCGCGAUGAUAAACUCAAAUGAAUUGACGGGUGCCCGCACAGCGGUGGAGCAUG
rnacentral:rRNA from 1 species